rnacentral:lncRNA from 1 species
CUGCUUUCUCGGGUUUAUAACCUUUCGCCAAUAGAUGGUUUACUGCUACAUAAAUGAACACUCCACAUGCUAUACCCAUUGAAAUCGCGAAUAUCCAAUCUGCCACAGCUCCUUGGGUUGUCGCAUCUAUUAGGAUUCCGAUGGCCACUCCAAUAGGACUUGAUAUAGCGAAUGCAAAAGCAUAGGCAGCGCACGAUAAGAAGGGGCGGUUUGGCAUCAUUCGAAGGAGAGCAAUGCCCAUGGCAAUGGCUGCAAAUACCUUGUGCAGAGUAAUUGUCCAUAAGGCUUUCCAAGCAUCGCGUUUAGUGUCAGCGACUCCAAUUGCAAUGCCCUCAAAGACAGAGUGGAAACACAAUGCUACAAUCAACAAGAUGCUAUCCCCAAGUGAGCUAACAUUUGCAACAGCCACGUUCGCGAAGUGGUUAUGGCUCUGUCAGGGAAAACAAAAACAAGUAUCCAGUUAGUCUCAGAACCACCACCAAGUACAUGCCCUACACAUAUGGAGAUCCUGAUACCACCAGUAGAUAUGAGAAUUCAAGAACUAUAUAUGUCUCACCUCAUUGCCAUUUUGACCACCCUUCCCCUGCUCAGCACUCCCUGUAACAUAGAAAUGUGUAAAUUGAUUGCCAUAAAAACAUUUACAUCUUUUUGGUAGCAGAGACAAAAAAAUCAGAUAAACAUGAAUUUUUAUUUUUAUUUUUUUAAUGUCACAGAACUUAAACAUUACGCCUAGUUUUGCUUCUUAAUGUAAUGUCACAACUUAGCCAUGGUAGACAACCCCAAUAACAAUUCUCAGAAAGAAAACGCACACCAGACAAAGCCAAUUUAUACUUUUAGCAUGUACCCAAGCUGUCAAAAGAAAAGUAAAAGAACAGAAAUAAGAAAUCCCACAUCCAAGCCAAUGAGCAUUUGGUCUAAAGUCUAACAGCACCCGGUCUCCACUUUCCACUAUGUUAAUGUUAAGUUGUACUAGGUCGCGAGUUCAAAUCUCAUCGACAGUUAAUGCUAAGUUGUAGCACGACAGUUGUUGGUUUUAUUUUUUCCAAACAUCAAACAGUUGUAUAUUCAACAAAAUCCACUCAAUGAACAACCAAAUAGAAUUAAAUUCCACAGAAAAAAAAAUCUGAUAACCAAACACUUACCUCGCAGCUCAAGAUCGGGAGCAGACCCAACACCUUUGUUCUUCUCAAAAACAUACGAAAUCACACAAUCAGCAAGCAUGGUGAGCAAGAACCCCCCACAAGCCAACAUAAACGCAAAAGGGUACUCUUUUUCAGUCAAGUCCUUGAAAGUCUCGUCGGCAUCACUCAGAAAGUGCAUCAGAGCCGUACCCAGAAACACACCCCCAGCAAACUGCGUACCCAAAACCAAGAACCAUUCAGACCACU